rnacentral:rRNA from 1 species
AUUGAACGCUGGCGGCAGGCUUAACACAUGCAAGUCGAGCGGAGAUGAGGUGCUUGCACCUUAUCUUAGCGGCGGACGGGUGAGUAACGCUUAGGAAUCUGCCUAUUAGUGGGGGACAACAUUCCGAAAGGAAUGCUAAUACCGCAUACGUCCGACGGGAGAAAGCAGGGGAUCUUCGGACCUUGCGCUAAUAGAUGAGGCUCAGUCGGAUUAGCGAGUUGGUGGGGUAAAGGCCUACCAAGGCGACGAUCUGUAGCGGGUCGGAGAGGAUGAUCCGCCACACUGGGACUGAGACACGGCCCAGACUCCUACGGGAGGCAGCAGUGGGGAAUAUUGGACAAUGGGGGGAACCCUGAUCCAGCCAUGCCGCGUGUGUGAAGAAGGCCUUAUGGUUGUAAAGCACUUUAAGCGAGGAGGAGGCUACUGAGACUAAUACUCUUGGAUAGUGGACGUUACUCGCAGAAUAAGCACCGGCUAACUCUGUGCCAGCAGCCGCCGUAA